GCCCGGGUGGCGAAACUGGUAGACGCAAGGGACUUAAAAUCCCUUGGGGGCAACCCCAUGCAGGUUCGAGUCCUGCCCCGGGCA
rnacentral:tRNA from 1 species